GACGAACGCUGGCGGCGUGCCUAACACAUGCAAGUCGAACGAGUGGCGAACGGGUGAGUAACACGUGGGGGACCUGCCCUGCACUCCGGGCUACGCCUGGGAAACUGGGUUUAAUACCGGAUAGUGUGGGAUGGGUCCGCGGCCUAUCAGCUUGUUGGCGGGGUAAUGGCUACAAAGUGGCGACGGGUAGCCGGCCUGAGAGGGUGGCCGGCCACAUUGGGACUGAGACACGGCCCAGACUCCUACGGGAGGCAGCAGUGGGGAAUAUUGGGCAAUGGGCGGAAGCCUGAUGCAGCAACGCCGCGUGAGGGAUGACGGCCUUCGGGUUGUAAAGUUCGUUCAGCGGGGAGGCGGUACCCGAAGAAGAAGCACCGGCUAACUACGUGCCAGCAGCCGCGGUAAUUC
rnacentral:rRNA from 1 species